rnacentral:rRNA from 1 species
UACGUAGGGGGCGAGCGUUGUCCGGAUUUAUUGGGCGUAAAGAGCUCGUAGGCGGCUUGGCAAGUCGGGUGUGAAACCUCCAGCUCAACCUGGAGACGCCACUCGAUACUGCCAUGGCUAGAGUCCGGUAGGGGACCACGGAAUUCCUGGGUGUAGCGGUGAAAAUGCGCAGAUAUCAGGAGGAACACCGGUGGCGAAGGCGGUGGUCUGGGCCGGCACUGACGCUGAGGAGCGAAAGCGUGGGUAGCAAACAGG